AUGUUUAAAUACAAGUGUUUAUCAGUUUUGACUUGUUUUGCAGUAUUGUAUCUUCUUUUGCUUUAUUUUAGAUGGAUUGAUUUGCUGCCAUUGUUUUACUUUCACAUCUGUGCUGUGCAUGCAAGGAGAUUCCUUGCUGAAUGGCCAUAUCCUCCAAACAUUGUUCUUCAAGAACCUUUGAGGGUGACAGCUAUCCAUUCAGCAUUAAUGGAAGCAGCAUGCGCAGAGAUGUUUUUUUUUUACCACCAUACAGUGUCUUACAGCCUCAGAGUUGAAACCUCAAUGCUUACAUUGCUGGACUUCGCUGCAGCUUCAUCAGAGUGAAGUACAAGAUGAUGGCCCUGGUGAGAGGGCUCACCCUCUCACUGUGUACAAAUGUUUGUGGUUUAGAGCCCAGUUUUCCAAAGAGAAGUCCAGAGUACACAAUACGUCACCUGUUUGUAUUCCAGCUCCAUGAGGAAACUAAGACAGAAUUAUACAGCGUUUCCAGAUCAGCUCUCCCAUGGGGCUUCAAGGCUGAGUUUUGGUCUCUGCAACACACAAAAAU
rnacentral:lncRNA from 1 species